rnacentral:rRNA from 1 species
UGCCUACGGGAGGCAGCAGUUAGGAAUAUUCGUCAAUGGGGGAAACCCUGAACGAGCAAUGCCGCGUGAAGGAUGACGGUCCUAUGGAUUGUAAACUUCUGUUGUUAGGGAAGAACGACCUAAGUAGGAAAUGACUUAGGAGUGACGGUACCUUUCAAGAAAGCUCCGGCUAACUACGUGCCAGCAGCCGCGGUAAUACGUAGGGAGCGAGCGUUAUCUGGAUUUAUUGGGUGUAAAGGGUGCGUAGGCGGAAUGCCAAGUCAGCGGUAAAAUCGCGGGGCUCAACCUCGCUCCGCCGUUGAAAC